rnacentral:misc_RNA from 1 species
CCCCCCCAAUCAAGUAUCUGAUUUUCUGAUGCUUGGAAUGCUUUGGAGAGGUGUCUUGUUAUAGAGCUGCCCUCCAGAAAUUAAUAGGCAGUAUGGUUUGCACCUGAACCAGACGUAAUAAUAAUAAAAUCGUUUGUUUGGGUAUAAUUGUACUUGUCUUAACCCACCCAUUUUUUUUUCUUCCUU